CCUACGGGGGGCUGCAGUGAGGAAUAUUGGUCAAUGGGCGUAAGCCUGAACCAGCCAAGUCGCGUGAGGGAUGAAGGUUCUAUGGAUCGUAAACCUCUUUUAUAAGGGAAUAAAGUGCGGGACGUGUCCCGUUUUGUAUGUACCUUAUGAAUACGGAUCGGCUAACACCGUGCCAGCAGCCGCGGUAAUACGGAGGAUCCGAGCGUUAUCCGGAUUUAUUGGGUUUAAAGGGUGCGUAGGCGGCCUUUUAAGUCAGCGGUGAAAGUCUGUGGCUCAACCAUAGAAUUGCCGUUGAAACUGGGCGGCUGGAGUAUGUGUGAGGCAGGCGGAAGGCGUGGUGUAGCGGUGAAAUGCUUAGAUAUCACGCAGAACCCCGAUGGCGAAGGCAGCCUGCCAAGCCAUGACUGACGCUGAGGCACGAAAGCGUGGGGAGCAAACAGGAUUAGAUACCCUGGUAGUC
rnacentral:rRNA from 1 species